rnacentral:rRNA from 1 species
CAGCAGUGGGGAAUAUUGCACAAUGGGGGAAACCCUGAUGCAGCCAUGCCGCGUGUGUGAAGAAGGCCUUCGGGUUGUAAAGCACUUUCAGUAGGGAGGAAGGUAGUGUAGUUAACACCUGCAUUAUUUGACGUUACCUACAGAAGAAGCACCGGCUAACUCCGUGCCAGCAGCCGCGGUAAUACGGAGGGUGCGAGCGUUAAUCGGAAUUACUGGGCGUAAAGCGCAUGCAGGCGGCCUGUUAAGUCAGAUGUGAAAGCCCGGGGCUUAACCUCGGAAUUGCAUUUGAAACUGGCAGGCUAGAGUCUUGUAGAGGGGGGUAGGAAUUUCAGGUGUAGCGGUGAAAUGCGUAGAGAUCUGAAGGAAUACCAGUGGCGAAGGCGGCCCCCUGGACAAAGACUGACGCUAAGAUGCGAAAGCGUGGGGAGCAAACAGGAUUAGAUACCCUGGUAG